rnacentral:rRNA from 1 species
AACGAACGCUGGCGGCAUGCCUAACACAUGCAAGUCGAACGAGACCUUCGGGUCUAGUGGCGCACGGGUGCGUAACGCGUGGGAAUCUGCCCUUGGUUCGGAAUAACAGUUAGAAAUGACUGCUAAUACCGGAUAAUGUCUUCGGACCAAAGAUUUAUCGCCCAGGGAUGAGCCCGCGUAGGAUUAGCUAGUUGGUGAGGUAAAGGCUCACCAAGGCGACGAUCCUUAGCUGGUCUGAGAGGAUGAUCAGCCACACUGGGACUGAGACACGGCCCAGACUCCUACGGGAGGCAGCAGUGGGGAAUAUUGGACAAUGGCGAAAGCCUGAUCCAGCAAUGCCGCGUGAGUGAUG